rnacentral:rRNA from 1 species
AACGAACGCUGGCGGCAGGCCUAACACAUGCAAGUCGAGCGCGAAAGGGGCUUCGGCCCCGAGUAAAGCGGCGCACGGGUGAGUAACACGUGAAUAAUCUGCCCUCAUGACCGGGAUAACAGACCGAAAGGACUGCUAAUACCGGAUAAGCCCCCGCGCCAAACCGGGCGAGCGGGGAAAAGGACGGGACCUUCGGGCCGUCCGCCUGAGGAUGAGUUCGCGUUCCAUUAGAUAGUUGGUGAGGUAACGGCUCACCAAGUCGACGAUGGAUAGCUGGUCUGAGAGGAUGAUCAGCCACACUGGGACUGAGACACGGCCCAGACUCCUACGGGAGGCAGCAGUGGGGAAUCUUGCGCAAUGGAGGAAACUCUGACGCAGCCAUGCCGCGUGAGUGAUGAAGGCCUUCGGUUGUAAGCUCUGUCUGAGGGAAAAUAGAUGCGCGUUCAACAGGGCGCGCAAGUGAUGGUACCCUCAAGAAAACACCGGACUAACUCCGUCG